GACGAACGCUGGCGGCGUGCCUAAUACAUGCAAGUAGAACGCUGAAGCGAGGAGCUUACUCUUCUUGGAUGAGUUGCGAACGGGUGAGUAACGCGUAGGUAACCUGCCUUGUAGCGGGGGAUAACUAUUGGAAACGAUAGCUAAUACCGCAUAACAAUGGAUGACACAUGUCAUUUAUUUGAAAGGGGCAAUUGCUCCACUACAAGAUGGACCUGCGUUGUAUUAGCUAGUAGGUGAGGUAAUGGCUCACCUAGGCGACGAUACAUAGCCGACCUGAGAGGGUGAUCGGCCACACUGGGACUGAGACACGGCCCAGACUCCUACGGGAGGCAGCAGUAGGGAAUCUUCGGCAAUGGGGGCAACCCUGACCGAGCAACGCCGCGGGAGUGAAGAAGGUUUUCGGAUCGUAAAGCUCUGUUGUAAGUCAAGAACGGGUGUGAGAGUGGAAAGUUCACACUGUGACGGUAGCUUACCAGAAAGGGACGGCUAACUACGUG
rnacentral:rRNA from 1 species